rnacentral:rRNA from 1 species
UACAGAGGGUGCGAGCGUUGUCCGGAAUCACUGGGCGUAAAGGGCGCGUAGGUGGCGCGGAAAGUCAACGGUGAAAGUUCGGGGCUCAACCCUGAAUCGGCCGUCGAUACUGCUGCGCUUGAGCACUGUAGAGGCAGAUGGAAUUCCGGGUGUAGCGGUGGAAUGCGUAGAGAUCCGGAAGAACACCGGUGGCGAAGGCGGUCUGCUGGGCAGUAGCUGACGCUGAGGCGCGACAGCGUGGGGAGCAAACAGG